UCCGAUNGCGAAGGCAGCUUGCUGGACUGUAACUGACGCUGAGGCACGAAAGCGUGGGGAUCAANCAGGAUUAGAUACCCUGGUANNCCACGCCGUAAACGAUGAAUGCUAGCUGUUAGCGAUAUACUGUUAGCGGCACAGAGAAAUCGUUAAGCAUUCCACCUGGGGAGUACGCCGGCAACGGUGAAACUCAAAGGAAUUGACGGGGGCCCGCACAAGCGGAGGAACAUGUGGUUUAAUUCGAUGAUACGCGAGGAACCUUACCUGGGCUUAAAUUACAGUGGAAUAACGUGGAAACAUGUUAGCCUUCGGGCCGCUGUGAAGGUGCUGCAUGGUUGUCGUCAGCUCGUGCCGUGAGGUGUCGGCUUAAGUGCCAUAACGAGCGCAACCCUCAUCGAUAGUUACUAACAGGUUAAGCUGAGGACUCUAUCGAGACUGCCGACGUAAGUCGUGAGGAAGGUGGGGAUGACGUCAAAUCAGCACGGCCCUUACGUCCAGGGCUACACACGUGUUACAAUGGGGGGUACAAAGGGCAGCUACCUGGCGACAGGAUGCUAAUCUCAAAAACCUCUCUCAGUUCGGAUUGGAGUCUGCAACUCGACUCCAUGAAGCUGGAUUCGCUAGUAAUCGCGCAUCAGCCAUGGCGCGGUGAAUACGUUCCCGGGCCUUGUACACACCGCCCGUCAAGCCAUGGAAGCUGGGGGUGCCUGAAGUAUGCAACCGCAAGGAGCGUCCUAGGGUAAAACCGGUAACUGGGGCU
rnacentral:rRNA from 1 species